AGAAACAGAGUAGUUUUGUGAUUGUGGAUAAGAGGGAAGGAGGCAAUGGAUCUAUGGUAGUAGAGGGUUGGAGGGGCUGUGGCAAGGGGCGGAAGGGGAAGUGUAACCAGGUGGGAUAGGGGUUCCUAAGGGGAAUGAAGAGGUUGGGGUGCUAUAAGAGGGUUGGGCGAGGGAGACGGUGUAAAAGCCCUUCUUGUGUUUGAUAAAAUACCUGUGUGAAACAUUGCUAUAUUGUUUGGUAUUUUUCUCUUCUCUUCUUCUCUUCUCUUCUUAUUCUUCAUAGAAACACUGUUGUGCUUUUGAUUAUUGGACUGAGUUGCUUAUGGCCAUUGAGAUUUUCCGAGUCAGAGUUGCCUCAAGAUGAAGGUAAGAAGAUUUCCUCAUUUUAUAUUAUAGUUAUUUCUGUUUGGGUGCUAAGAAAAUGCAGGAAUAAUCAAUCAAACUAUAGAAAUUUUGAGUAUUGGUUUUUCAUUAUAUGGGUUCAGUUAAAAUGAGCCUGUCUUUGGUAUUUUGGGUUAGUUUAGUUUGAUUUUGGGGGAAAAUCAAAUAAAUAGCAAACAAAUGAAUUGUUGAAGAAUGGGACACAAAUCUGAGAUAAUUUGUAUUCCAUAAUGUGAAAAUUCUGUGUCCACUUUUGAUUUACUCUUGGUUUAUAUUUCUUGUUUGGAUGGAAAAAGGUUAAUUGCACUAUUAUUGCAUUCUUAUAGUUAAAACUAAUUAAACUCUUCAUCUCAUUUAUUUUAUUUUAUUGUGACAUGGUGGCUGAUUGAUCAUCUCAAGUUUCUUGAUAAUCCAUUGUACAUUGGUGGUGACUCCUACUCUGGUUUGGUUGUUCCAUCAUUGUUCAGGAAAUUUUAACCGGUAAUGAACUUGGACAUCAACCAACAAUGAACCUACAAGGAUAUUUGUUGGGCAAUCCAGUGACAGAUGUCCAUGAUGACCAAAAUUCAGCUAUCCCAUAUGCUCAUCGUGUAUCACUCAUUUCAGAUGAAAUCUAUGAGUCAACUAAACAAAGUUGCUAUGGUGAAUAUAUGAAUAUAGAUCCAAACAAUGCAGCAUGUCUAUAUUAUCUUCAAAUUGUCUCUAAGAUUUGAUGAUGCAAUAGCAGCGGCUCAAAGAGCAGCACGGCUGGACUCAAGCAGCAAGGAAGUGAACAUGGUGGUUAGGAGUACACGGGCGGUGGCAAUGGCUCUAUCCAAUGGUAACGAUUUGUUCAGGGGAUAAAGAUACUCAGAGGCUUGUGUUGCAUAUGGAGAGGGACUCGGCCAUGACCCCUACAACUCGGUGUUGUUGUGCAACAGAGCCACUUGCAGGUCCAAACUUAGUCAAUUUGAGAAAGCAAUGAAGGACUGGACUGCUGCCCUUAAUGUGCGCCCAUCUUACAGGAAAGCCAGAUUAAGAAGAGUCAAUUGCUA